rnacentral:rRNA from 1 species
AUUGAACGCUGGCGGCAGGCCUAACACAUGCAAGUCGAACGGUAACAGGAAGAAGCUUGCUUCUUUGCUGACGAGUGGCGGACGGGUGAGUAAUGUCUGGGAAACUGCCUGAUGGAGGGGGAUAACUACUGGAAACGGUAGCUAAUACCGCAUAACGUCGCAAGCCCAAAGAGGGGGACCUUCGGGCCUCUUGCCAUCGGAUGUGCCCAGAUGGGAUUAGCUAGUAGGUGGGGUAACGGCUCACCUAGGCGACGAUCCCUAGCUGGUCUGAGAGGAUGACCAGCCACACUGGAACUGAGACACGGUCCAGGCUCCUACGGGAGGCAGCAGUGGGGAAUAUUGCACAAUGGGCGCAAGCCUGAUGCAGCCAUGCCGCGUGUAUGAAGAAGGCCUUCGGGUUGUAAAGUACUUUCAGCGGGGAGGAAGGGAGUAAAGUUAAUACCUUUACUCAUUGACGUUACCCGCAGAAGAAGCACCGGCUAACUCCGUG